AGGGCUGUAGCUCAGUGGGAGAGCAGCUGUUUUGCAUGCACAAGGUUCCAGGUUUAAUCCUUGGCUUCUCUA